UACAGAGGUCUCAAGCGUUGUUCGGAUUCAUUGGGCGUAAAGAGCUCGUAGGCGGUUUGUCGCGUCGGCUGUGAAAACCUGGGGCUCAACCCCGGGCCUGCAGCCGAUACGGGCAAACUAGAAUUCGGUAGGGGAGACUGGAAUUCCUGGUGUAGCGGUGAAAUGCGCAGAUAUCAGGAGGAACACCGGUGGCGAAGGCGGGUCUCUGGGCCGAUAUUGACGCUGAGGAGCGAAAGCGUGGGGAGCAAACAGG
rnacentral:rRNA from 1 species